rnacentral:rRNA from 1 species
AUUCCGGUUGAUCCUGCCGGAGGCCAUUGCUAUUGGGAUCCGAUUUAGCCAUGCUAGUCGCACGAGUUCAGACUCGUGGCGAAUAGCUCAGUAACACGUGGCCAAACUACCCUUCGGAACACAAUACCCUCGGGAAACUGAGGCUAAUAGUGUAUACCACAUCACCACUGGAAUGAGUGAUGUGCCAAACGCUCCGGCGCCGAAGGAUGUGGCUGCGGCCGAUUAGGUAGACGGUGGGGUAACGGCCCACCGUGCCAAUAAUCGGUAUGGGUCAUGAGAGUGAGAACCCAGAGACGGAAUCUGAGACAAGAUUCCGGGCCCUACGGGGCGCAGCAGGCGCGAAACCUUUACACUGCACGACAGUGCGAUAGGGGGAUCCCAAGUGCACAGGCAUAGCGCCUGUGCUUUUCGGUACCGUAAGGUGGUACCAGAAUAAGGGCUGGGCAAGACCGGUGCCAGCCGCCGCGGUAAUACCGGCAGCCCAAGUGAUGGCCGAUCUUAUUGGGCCUAAAGCGUCCGUAGCUACUUUCC